GUCAGGAGGGAAAGAUAAGUGAGACCCAUCCUCACCCUCACAGAGAUGCAGUCUGGUGGCCUCUGGAAGAAGGAAGUUGUGAAACUUACCGAUUCCUUGGGAAAACAGUUCUUCUUUUUGUAAAGGUGUGUCCUGAGGAACCUCAGAUUUGAAAGAAGAGUGAAUGGAAGUCAAAUGUGGAAACCACUCAAAUGUCCAUCAACUGAUGAAUGAAUAAACAAAUCGUGGUAUAUCCAUACAAGGAAUAUUAUUCACCCAUAAAAAGGAAUGAAGUCUUAAUACACCUACAACUGGAUGAACAUUGAAAACAUUAUGCUAUCCAUUCUGCUUCAGGUUGGAAAAAAAAAUACGAUCCUUACCUAAAGAAGCCAUCUACAAAAGGCCACAUAUUGUGUGAUUAUAUCAUAUGACCAGAAUACGCAAAUUCAUAGAGACAGAAAGCAGAUUAAUGGUUGCCAGGAACUGGGGGAAGGGGAGGAAUGAGGAGUGACUAACUGUGUUUUUCCCAUUGUGAUUUAAAAAAAAGUUCUGGAACCAGAUAGUGGUGAUGGUUGCACAACAUUGUGAAUGUACUCAGUACCACUGAAUUGUACACUUUAAAAUGGUCAGUUUUGGCUGGGCACGGUGGCUCACGCCUGUAAUCCCAGCACUUUGGGAGGCUGAGGCAGGGGAAUCACCUGAGUUCAGGAGUUCAAGACCAGCCUGGCCAACAUGGUGAAACCCCG
rnacentral:lncRNA from 1 species